CCUACGGGGCGCUGCAGUGGGGAAUAUUGGACAAUGGGCGAAAGCCUGAUCCAGCCAUGCCGCGUGUGUGAAGAAGGCCUUCGGGUUGUAAAGCACUUUCAGUGGGGAAGAAAGCCUUGGGGCUAAUACCCUCGAGGAAGGACAUCACCCACAGAAGAAGCACCGGCUAACUCCGUGCCAGCAGCCGCGGUAAUACGGAGGGUGCGAGCGUUAAUCGGAAUUACUGGGCGUAAAGCGCGCGUAGGCGGUCUGAUAAGCCGGUUGUGAAAGCCCCGGGCUCAACCUGGGAACGGCAUCCGGAACUGUCAGGAUAGAGUGCAGGAGAGGAAGGUAGAAUUCCCGGUGUAGCGGUGAAAUGCGUAGAGAUCGGGAGGAAUACCAGUGGCGAAGGCGGCCUUCUGGACUGACACUGACGCUGAGGUGCGAAAGCGUGGGUAGCAAACAGGAUUAGAUACCCGAGUAGUC
rnacentral:rRNA from 1 species